CUGGAUGGACCGGUACUGAGUGUACAACUCCCGUCUGCGAGCCACCGUGCAGGAAUGGAGGCACGUGCUCGGCGCCCCAGACAUGUACGUGUCCACCGGGCAAGGGAGGCCGGCUCUGCGACCACAACACCACCGCGAACCACUUGGCCGUCGAGAAGCGACUUCCGUUUCAGACGUGCAUCAGCGCCGGAAACUACUACCGGACUUUCGACAACCUGGAGUUCUACUUCAAGGGCACAUGCGCGUACACGUUGGUCAAAACCGGACACUUGUCACUCACCGUGGAGCAUUUUAACUGCGA